ACAUUUAGACAUUUUAAUGUAAAUUUUUUACAACUGCAAUUGUCCUGAUACUAAAGUUUAAAUUUUUGAUAUUAAGCAGGGAAGAAUCCACCAAUCUAUGGGAAAAAUUCAUCAACUACGAAACCAAGCCCAACGGAAAAUCUCAAGGAUGUGUGAUAAAAAGGCAAAUGAGAGGCCUGCUGCUGGCCUCGUGAAGAGAGAAGAAUCGUACAUGAACGAAAUUAUGGAAUUGUAUGAUGUUAUAGAAUCAGCGGAGUAUGCUAAAAGUGCGCUUAUACAACCAAAAAUAGUUUACCCUUCAGCUGCCACUAUGUGUUCUCCUAAUGACAACCUAACUGAACAUUUUUCGACAGAAACAAGGAAGGGACGUUUCUUAAAAUUUCGUGAAAGAUUUCUUGAAGAAUUGUAUUCUAAGAAAGGUCAAAUUGGAUGCAUAAAAGCUACCAAAGCAAAACCAGAUAGUUUCAAUAACUAUAGUCAUACUUAUGGUAGGAAAUAUAGCGUACAUCCUUCAGGAUCGCACUCGAUUUUAGAUAACAAAACAAGAAAGGAAAUAAUUCGUGAUAGCAAAAUAUCUCAUCCAAAAUAUCUUAAAAGUCAUAAGCACUAUUUACCAGCAGAAAAAAUUAAGAGAGGCUAUAUAAAACCAUUCGACCUUAAUAAUAGUUUUGGAAUGACCUCCGAUUACUUGGAUAUGACUAAGGUGCAAAGAAUCUUAGAUACUGAAGAUAAGGUAACUAUUAUCACCAAGCGACAGAAAGAUGAACUAACAAAAAAAUUUGGAGUUGCUGGUAUCAGACAAAAUAAAAUAGAAACCGGUGAUCAUCAAAAAGUUUUUGGCCUGCAACCAAUAGUAAAAGCGGCUGAUGUCAAAACUGUAUUUGAUCAUAAAAGUCCAGAACAGAGAAACAAAAAACUAAGUGAUGCAGUACAAUAUGCACAUCAUAUAAGACUGUUUCUAGCUAGGAAGUACCACAUUGAUAUAUCGGAUUUCAAAGCAGCACUUAUUAAAAGUGAUAUAGAGCAAACGGGUUAUAUCACAUUAAAGAAAUUACAAGAUAUAUCAACUAGGGAAAAACUGUGCAUUAAUAUUGAUAGACUUAUGUUGGCUCUGGAACAUUUCGAUAUAUUAAAAAUGAUUAAUAAUGUUCAAUGUGUUAAUAUUUAUGGUUUUUUUAAUUUUGUUACCGGCAAAAUCGCAAUACCCUUUGGUAAACCAAUUGAAAAAUUGGAAACAGAUGAAUAUUUGAUAGACAGUGUAUAUAGGGAAAUGUGUAAGGAUCUAAGUAAAAAAACUUUAAGCAGCACUGAUGAGAAACACAAUGUAAGCCCUUAUAAGAAUACAGUACAACACUUAAUUCACGAUGGCUUAUGUGCGCGUCACGGAUUGACUCCAGAUGACUUUGUAAAACCUAGAUCGAAGGCAGAGAUACGGGAGAUUUUCUCAACAACCAUAAAUACCAACUUUGAUAGAUUAUGGGAGAAAACAUUAAUAAAAUACAAGUCAAAGAAUAAUAUGUUAUCUGUAGGAGAGGUCUUUGAAAUGAUGAAGCAAAUAAUACAAAAGAAAGUAACAUAAAACUGAUAUAUGAAGGAUAUACGGGACUAUAUAUAUAUGUGUGUUUCUUGUUGACAGGAAAAGAAAUCAUGAAAUCAAAAAUGAAAAAGCCACUAUAGAUAUAUGAAUCAAUUGCUGGAUAUAUAAAUAUUUACAAAUCAA